rnacentral:rRNA from 1 species
GGAGGAUAGGUUUUCCGUAGGUGACCUGCGGAAGGACAUUAAUGGAAUAAACCUGGUGGACUGUCGCUGGCUCUUGAGAGCAUGUGCACGUCUGUCAUCUUUAUCUUUCCACCUGUGCACCUUUUGUAGACCUGGAUGCUUAAUAUAUCAAUCUGAGGUCAACUCAGGCGUGAGGACUGUCGGCGUCGCAAGAUAUCGGCUUUCCUUGUAGCAUUCCAGGGACUAUGUUUUUCAUACACACUUUAAAAAUCUAAUAGAAUGUCGUUUUAAAAGGUCUUUGUACCUAUAUAAAACAAAUAUACAACUUUCAGCAACGGAUCUCUUGGCUCUCGCAUCGAUGAAGAACGCAGCGAAAUGCGAUAAGUAAUGUGAAUUGCAGAAUUCAGUGAAUCAUCGAAUCUUUGAACGCAUCUUGCGCUCCUUGGUAUUCCGAGGAGCAUGCCUGUUUGAGUGUCAUUAAAUUCUCAACCUUGUCAGCUUUUACCAGCUGGUCAAGGCUUGGAUGUGGGGGUUUUUGCAGGUCUUCACAGAUCUGCUCCCCUGAAAUACAUUAAUGGUGCCUCUGGAGUGUGAACGGCUAUUUGGUGUGAUAAUCUAUCUACGCCAUUAGACGGGCUACAUCUCUUGGAUGAGAAGGAAGGAUUAAUCUGCUUAUAACCGUCCUUCAGGAAUACAUAUGACUAUUUGACCUCAAAUCAGGUAGGACUACC